CAACAUACCAAAUAGCAGUUGCAGCAAUCAAUAGAGCUGGUGUUGGACAGAAGGCUUGGAUCAACUUCACCCCUAAGGAAUUCGCACCAGGUCCUGUAAAUCGUGUGGUUGCCAUGGUAAUAUCCAGCUCUGCAGUGCAGACAAAGUGGGAAGCACCUCGCAUAUCUAAUGGCAAUAUCCUGUACUAUACACUGGAGUAUAGUAUGGUGAAUUCUCAGUCAUCUGUGCAGAGAGUCAAGGUCAAUAUCAGUACAGCAAUGUUACAAUACAACAUCACUGGACUACUGAACAACAGUGAUGUUCUGAUUACAGUGUUUGCUGUCAACUCUGCUGGUCCUGGACCUGGUGUUACCAGACGUGUUAGCACAACAGACCAUGCUGAAAACUCCAUAGAGAAGAGUCCA